rnacentral:rRNA from 1 species
GAUGAACGCUGGCGGCGUGCUUAACACAUGCAAGUCGAACGAUGAAGCCCAGCUUGCUGGGUGGAUUAGUGGCGAACGGGUGAGUAACACGUGAGUAACCUGCCCUGGACUUUGGGAUAACCCUCGGAAACGGGGGCUAAUACCGGAUACGACUUUCCUCGCAUGAGGUUUGGUGGAAAGUUUUCGGUCUGGGAUGGGCUCGCGGCCUAUCAGCUUGUUGGUGGGGUGAUGGCCUACCAAGGCGACGACGGGUAGCCGGCCUGAGAGGGCGACCGGCCACACUGGGACUGAGACACGGCCCAGACUCCUACGGGAGGCAGCAGUGGGGAAUAUUGCACAAUGGGCGGAAGCCUGAUGCAGCGACGCCGCGUGAGGGAUGACGGCCUCGG